GUGAAUCAUCGAAUUUUUGAACGCAAAUUGCACUUUCUGGUAUUCCGGAAAGUAUGCCUGUUUGAGGGUCAGUAUUAAUAAAAAAUCGGUUUAGGUACAAAUUGUGACGUUUCCGGUGUUUGGGCUAUCUUAACAUUUUUGGUUAAGAGGCUUAAAAUUGACCUUUGUUGGGCAUUUUUAAAUGUACAUAAGUUUUUUUUAUUCGUCUAGGCU
rnacentral:misc_RNA from 1 species